rnacentral:rRNA from 1 species
GAAUAUUGCCCAAUGGGGGAAACCCUGAGGCAGCAACGCCGCGUGAACGAUGACGGCCUUCGGGUUGUAAAGUUCUUUUCUGAGGGAAGAUGAUGACGGUACCUCAGGAAUAAGUCCCGGCUAACUACGUGCCAGCAGCCGCGGUAAAACGUAGGGGACAAGCGUUAUCCGGAUUUACUGGGCGUAAAGCGCCCGUAGGCGGUUUUUUAAGUUGGACGUGAAAGCUCCCGGCUUAACUGGGAGAGGCCGUUCAAAACUGGAAAACUGGAGUCUGGAAGAGGAGAGCGGAAUUCCCGGUGUAGUGGUGGAAUGCGUAGAUAUCGGGAGGAACACCAGUGGCGAAAGCGGCUCUCUGGUCCAGAACUGACGCUGAGGGGCGAAAGCGUGGGGAGCGAACGGG